rnacentral:rRNA from 1 species
GGAAUAUUGGACAAUGGGGGGCAACCCUGAUCCAGCAAUGCCGCGUGUGUGAAGAAGGUCUUCGGAUUGUAAAGCACUUUCGACGGGGACGAUGAUGACGGUACCCGUAGAAGAAGCCCCGGCUAACUUCGUGCCAGCAGCCGCGGUAAUACGAAGGGGGCUAGCGUUGCUCGGAAUGACUGGGCGUAAAGGGCGUGUAGGCGGUUUACACAGUCAGAUGUGAAAUCCCCGGGCUUAACCUGGGAGCUGCAUUUGAUACGUGUAGACUAGAGUGUGAGAGAGGGUUGUGGAAUUCCCAGUGUAGAGGUGAAAUUCGUAGAUAUUGGGAAGAACACCGGUGGCGAAGGCGGCAACCUGGCUCAUUACUGACGCUGAGGCGCGAAAGCGUGGGGAGCAAACAGGUUAGAUACCCUGGUAGUCCACGCUGUAAACGAUGUGUGCUAGAUGUUGGGUAACUUUGUUAUUCAGUGUCGCGUUAACGCGUUAAGCAC